GUCCGAGGGUGUUGUCUUGAUAUUCCUUCUAUGAAUUUAAUCUGGUGGAGCCAUCGUUUGACUCAGUAAAUAAAUGUAGUUUGGACUCGGAGACUGAAGGCAGUGAGGACCUUCCCUGCGAUGCAUCUGGAAACUGCCUCCAGCAUGUAAACUUGGGUAAUUAAUUGUAGGCAUCACUACUACGCUGCCUGCUGUCUUUGUCUGAAAAGAUGUUUUUCUGGGUUUCAGCAUUUUUUUAGGCAGGAAGGUAAAUCUGUUCCCUGUUACUCCAUAAUGGCCAGGAGCAAAAUCUUCUCUUUAUUUUUAAUUAAGAUGAAUAGCAAAUUGUUUCCUUUGUCUCAAGUAGAAGUGACAUGAAAAUACCAAUUCUUGCCACUAACGUGACUUGGAGAAAGAGCUACUCAACGGCUCUUUACCACUACAGUGAUGCAUGUAUUCCUUGAUAGGCCUAAAAUUUAAUCUGCGUCAAAGAGAAGCUUCUGCUACAUGACGUCUGCAGGAAUUAAGCCAGGGUUGAUUUGCUAAAUCUUGCUCCAUAGCCCCUCACUGCAGGAAAAAGAAAAGCUAUAUGCAGCCACAUAAACUAUUAAUCUUUUAACGAAUUUAGCUCUGCAAGGAGGUAGGAAAGGUUGGCUCGAAUCUGUUCAUCGCAUUCAGCUCACAGAGUUCAUUUAAAAGGGAUGCUAGUGUCUGGUUGGUUUAGUUUGUUGACUUGCGAGGAAAACUCUUGUUAGAGAGUUCCAAGGCUUCAGAGAAAUACCAGUAGGGGGCACCUCCCCACACACAUUUCUAUGAAGAAGAGCCAGUUUACAAUAGAUAGCCAAGAUGGUCUUGUAGAAAACAAACUUGCAGAAUGCCAACGUGCAAUUAGGUGACUCAAGGUGUAAAGGAGGCAAAAAUUUUCUUCUCUUUGCUUUGUUUUGUGUGGUGGGCUGAAUAGUGGCCCCAAAGAUGUUUGCAUUCUAAGCUUCAGAACCUGUGAAUGUUAUUUACAUGGCAAAAAGGAGACUGCGCAUAUGCUUAGGUUAAGGAUCUGGAGAUGGGAAGAUUAUCCUGGAUUAUCGGGGUGGACCCUGUGUAAUUACAAUGGUUUUUAUAAGAAGGAGGCAGCAGUAUCAGUCUGAGAAGAUGUGAUGACCAAAGUAGAGGUGAGAAAGAGAGAGAAAAAGAGAGAUGUGAAGAUGGUAUGCUGCUGGCUUUGAAGAUGGAGGAAGGACCCAAGAUCCAAGGACUAAAGGCAGCCUCUAGAAGCUGGAAAGCAUGCAUGCAGAUAUUUUCCUGGCCCAUCACUAUAGCAGCUGAGAGAGAGCCCGCAACCUGGAGGAGCUCAGAGGAGAGGAAGGCGAGAAGCUGGAGGAGUGAGAGCCUCUAGAGAAGAAAGGAAAAUCUGAGCGCACUUCAACCACAGAGGCCAGAGCAGCACAUCAAAGCCAGAAGUACAAGUCAUCAAAGUUCAGAUUCUUUCCUGCUUCUCUGUGGUGGAGUCGAGAAUACAAACAUCCUCAAUUGCUGUAGCAAGAGGAACAUUAGUCCAUCAACAGAACCAAACAGGAAGUACCAAAUGGGUAUUUCUUCUAUUUAUUUUGUGACCAUUAAGAAAGACAGAGUAGUUCUUUCAACCAAAUUUGUCCAUGAAGCACAGAACACAUAUAAGAUGUAAUCAUUUUAGUUAGUGGAAAAUUUGAUUGCAAAAAGAUUUAAUGCUGUUUUUCCAGUUAUUUUACUUACUACAAUUUAGGCAAUACUACAUUCUUAGGAUCUUAGAAUUGUACCAUAUCUUAAGUUAUUAUUUCCUUUCUUUAAACUAUGAACCAGAAACUUAUCAUUUGCUACAGCCUACUGAGAUUUGCAUUAUGAUUCACUUACACUUUAAUUAAAUUUCUCAAAUAUUUCCUUUCCAGAUCCAAGAGGAUGUGCAUAUAUUGAGCAGAAUACUUUCACCUCCCUUUAGUAUGUGAUAGAGUGCUAAAGUGUCAGAUAAGGCCAGGAAAUACCACAAAUGGUACUUCAGAGAUUUGUUUGCUUUGCCAAAAUUUUUAAUCUUGGUGUAACAGUUGGUUAUCUGCUCCAUUGCAUCAGAGUAAGUUCUACUACUCCACUGCCAGUGACAGCAGAUAAGCAAAAAUAAGGCACACUGUAAUGAUUUAAACAAGCCUAGGGAAGAAGCAAAAGGGAAUGUAAUUUGUAUUUUUUAUGAAUAUUUCCAGAAAUGAAUCAACAAGCCACUUCAUUAUUCUUAUAAUUACUUGGAAUCUCUUAAUUCCAGAAGAUUUUUUACCCUGCUAGUUAAAAGGAAAUGAAUGCUCCUCUUCAGCUUCCCUCAUUCUUUUUCUCAUCCAGCCGGUGGUGUACCAAGGACGGGAUGGUGGGAGUGGUCUACCCCUAGUAUAGGCAAUAAGGGAGUGCUUUGAGUGUAGAAAAUUUGAAAGGAAUAAAAUAAAAUAAUAGUAAAUACCAGUCUGCUUUUUAUUAUAACUAUGCCCUGACAAUUCUAAACAAUGGCAAUGAUACGACUCCUCUCUGAAAAAAAAAUUUUCGUUGUUGGUCUAAGUUCUAAACAACUGCUACAGUUACUGACAUUUAACAAUAUAUAUGUAAGCUGAAAAUUACCAUGUUUUUUAUUACUUAUUCUUUAGUAAACAUAAUAUUUGACAUGGAAGUAAUUCUAACUUCCCUGCACGUGAACUCAGCUGCACAUGUUUAUUUCAAGAAAAAGCAGCCAAGUUCUGUUUUUGCUUUUUCAUAACACUGUGCUAUAGCUGUUUAUUUUGAAUCUAUGUUUAAACACAGGGUUACAUAGUACCACAGAGGUUAGAGAUACGAACUGAGCCUGAAGUGAGCUCAAAUAAUCCUCAAUCCAUUACAAACUCUGGAGAAUUUUACCAAAUAUAAUAGAAAUUUAUGAUGAAUUUUCUGGUGAAGGUAUUUUAGUGGAAAAUUUUCAACUGCAGAAAUAUUUGAAAGGUGUUAGAACUGAUUCCAAAGAACAAAGACACAGAUGCUUAUUGUAAUUUCUGGAAUUUACUGUGAAAUGGGACUUUUUUGAAUCUCUGGUAAACUCAUCCUUAUUUUAAAGCUUUCCUAACCAAUUGUAUAUCUUUCUUCAUGUAAAAGAAACAUUUCAAAUUAAAAUAAAUGAAAAGUGUCCUUCAAUCAACUAUGAAUGAAGAUAGAUCGACAAACCUGGCUGAACUGAUUCUGUUGACCAUGAAUAUGUGAAUAUCAAUUUGAUAAAGCCGUUGACAAAUUUAUGGAAGUGAACCCUCAAAGCCAGAAACCGCGUGUCAACUCCUUUGGUAUCCAGGAAGAAUUUUAUUUUGGCUAUACAUAAUAAUAAAUAUAUCUCUGUUUUAUAGAAGAAAAAUCUAAAAAUGAGUAUCUUGCAGUAUAUUAGCAGAACGUACAUUCCUGUUGAAAAGGUUCAUGAUGACCUAGACAGAAUCUAAACAGUUGAAUGAGAGAAUGAUACUCAGGCCUGCAAGAUGUUAAAUAAUGUGAUAGAGCUAAUUUUAGCCUAAAUCCUGCUCAUCUCAAGGUAAUGGUAAGCUAUAAUUUCUGCAAUUUGUGUUAAUAAUGAAGACGCAUUAUUUUUAAACUAAUAUAUAAUCCAUUUUAUCUGGGUGACAUGUGACCUGCUAUAUUUGUUUCUAAGUUUUAAAGAAAAAAACAACAUCAAAUUUUAUUGGGAUAAUUAUAUGGUGCUCAAAAUAUCUGACUAUGUACUUUAGGCUAAGUUCAUAGCCUUUGUUGCAAAAAAGUAUUAAUGACUAUAUGAUACAGAUAUAUUCAUAUUUAUGACACUAAUGAGAAGAGCUAAUGCUCAUGAUUUGCUGGUAACACCCAUGUUUACAUUUUACUUUGUUAAAUGCAAUAUCCCUAUGAGCUGUAAAUGCUAUCAUUACACCUAUUUUACAGAUAAGGAAGCUGAGGCACAGACAAUAAAUAUUUGCUCAAUGUCACACAGCUGAUAAAUAGUAGAGGCAGUAUAUAAAUCUAAAUAAUCUGACUCCAGAACCCCUGCUCCUCACUGCCAUGCCACAGCACCUCUCAUAUAUGAGGAAAACGUAUAUAAGAAAAGUUGCUUUGUGCAGGAUUUAUAUUUGCUAAAUUUUGCAAUAGGGUCAUUAUUCAUCGUUUAGAAUUAGAAAUGCUCUAAUUGCAGAAUUAUUCUGGAUAAAUUGAAAAACAUUGAUAAUACUGAUGAUUACAGAGAGUCUUGAGGUCAAAUAAAGGUUGAAGAUUUAGAAAAACUAUGUUUCGAUCAAGUCUGAGAUUUCAGAUAUAUAUAGUAAAAUGGUUUUACAUACUUAAUGACUGUUCGUAAGCAAAAAUGUCUUGUGUGAUUUGGUUUUUUAAAAAAUGGUUCUGAGGGUAUUGAAUAUAAGUCUGUUUUGAUUUCUUUAGACAUUUUGCUCCUGCAUUUAAUAAUACCCGUGGCAGUUUUUGGGGACAUUAUAGAAUUUUGUAUAACUCUGAAGAUUACAUCUUUAGCAACUGAAGCAGAAAUUUUGCAAUUACCUUGAUUGUCUCAGAU